UUAUUUUUUCAGAAAUCAAAAGAUAAAUCAACAUGUACAUAUUUAGCUGGUGUUAUUCGUGCAUGCGUUGCUCCAAAAUCUGGAAAUAUAAGAAUGGCCGUUUUGAAACAUUUGGUAAAAUUAAAUGCUUCAAAAAUAUUCAUGAAAUCAAUAGUAGAACUACAAUCUAAAUCUGUAGGUACGAGUGAUACUCUCGUAAACGAACUGUUUUUUAUUUUAGGCGAACUGUCACAAAAAGAUAAUAAUUUUUCGAAACAUGCUGAAGUAUUAAGUGUAGCCAAACUGUUUCAUCAACAUUUAAGAAAUAAUGUUAAGAACAUAAAAUUAUCGACCUCAUUAAUGUUAUGUUUUAAAACAAUCACAAAAAAUG